CUUUUACUUGUAGUAUUUGAUGAAAUAAAGUGCCCGGUUUAGUUUCUACUAGAAUUCAAUCACCUAUAUUCUAAAACCCCAAAUCACAAUCGCUUAAACCCUAGAACCUCAACUACGAAAUCAAAAUCAUGGGCUCAUCUCUAAAUCAGCAGCAGGCGGUGUGUGGGAAGGAAUCAAUCGAUCUUCUCAAUUGCGUUGCUCAAUCGCCCUUCGACCAAGAAAAAUGCCUUUCCCUCCUUCAAACCUUGCGCCAAUGCGUCAUUAAUAAGAAAGUGAAGAAGUUCUCCCUCGCAGAAGAGACGAGGGAACAAGCAGAUUCAAGUGGGAAGAAGCAAACUUGAUAUUCGAGGAAGCUGGCACGACCGUGAACCUUGCACAUUCUCCCUCUUGAUCCAAAAUAUUGUAUCAUUCACAUUUUUUGCACCAUCAGCAUAAACAAUUGUUGCUUGGGGACUGUUGAAUAUGUCUCACUAAGUAGAAACAAACUACUACUCGUGCUUGUAAUGCUAAUGAAUUGUACUAGAUUUUGCGGUUGUAUCAAAUUGCUCUAUCUCCACAGUAUUCCAAGGUAAAAGCGAGCGAGUAAUCAAAUUAUGAGUGACCCCAGAAAUCUAUUGUUGUAUCCUUUGCUUUUGUCUGUAUUCUCAAUAAUCAACUGACUUUUGGAUAAAUGAUUUCAGUCUAAUUUAUUGAUGCAUAAGACCAUUUAAUAUUGUUA